GGGGGUUUAACUCAGUUGGUAGAGUGGAUGACUUUUAAUCAUUAUGUCACAGGUUCGAACCCUGUAACUCUCA